CAUGUUACCUGUUAAAAUUUCAUAAAUAUUUGUUUUCAGAUGAUAAACAGGCAGAUACACCUGAGACUCAUGAGGAAAUGGAAAAGGAAGUAAAAAAACAGAAAAAGAGCCAAACGAGCCUUUGGUAAUGAAACUACUAAAGGCAGUAUUCAAGAAAAGAAGACACUAUGUUCAAACAUCUAAUUCAAGACCAUCACAGACAGAUAGUCUGCCCUAAAGACA
rnacentral:lncRNA from 1 species